AUCUACGGCCAUACCACCCUGAACGUGCCCAAUCUUGUCUGAUCUCGGAAGGUAAGCAGGGUCGGGCCUGGUUAGUACUUGGAUGGAAGACUGCCUAGGAAUACUGGGUGCUGUAGGCU
ensembl:rRNA 5S_rRNA 5S ribosomal RNA